CUACGCACUCCUAGGGAGGCAGCAGUGGGGAAUAUUGCACAAUGGGCGCAAGCCUGAUGCAGCCAUGCCGCGUGUAUGAAGAAGGCCUUCGGGUUGUAAAGUACUUUCAGCAGUGAGGAAGGUGGAUAUGUUAAUAGCAUAUUCAUUUGACGUUAGCUGCAGAAGAAGCACCCGGCUAACUCCGUGCCAGCAGCCGCGGUAAUACGGAGGGUGCGAGCGUUAAUCGGAAUUACUGGGCGUAAAGCGCAUGCAGGUGGUUUGUUAAGUCAGAUGUGAAAGCCCGGGGCUCAACCUCGGAAUUGCAUUUGAAACUGGCAAACUAGAGUACUGUAGAGGGGGUAGAAUUUCAGGUGUAGCGGUGAAAUGCGUAGAGAUCUGAAGGAAUACCGGUGGCGAAGGCGGCCCCCCUGGACAGAUACUGACACUCAGAUGCGAAAGCGUGGGGAGCAAACAGGAUUAGAUACCCUGGUAG
rnacentral:rRNA from 1 species